ensembl:lncRNA
AAAGAAAGAAAGAAGGAAGGAAGGAAAGAAUGAAAGAAAGAAAGAAGGAAGGAAAGAAUGAAGGAAAGAAAAAGAAAAAAGAGAGGAAGAAAGAAAGAGAAAAGGCAAAUGAACGCCCCGCAAAGCCAAUCUCAGGGCGCAGUCAGGGCGGUCUCCCAGGCACGCAGCGCUGUCGGGUCAGAGCGGCGCGGCCCCAUCCCGUCCCAUCGAGAGGUGCCGCUCACCGCAUCCCUCCGCACCGCCAACCGGGGGAGAAAAACCCCGAACCCCGCGUUCCAUAUUUCGAGGAGUUCUGCGCGCUUUCGGGGGGGUUGAAAUUUCGCUUUGAUGUUUUAUUGCCUCUCUCAUCUUUUCCUGGAGAGAGGAACCGGCGCUGUGUGAGCACCCCGUACCCCCAACCCCCCUUACCCCCGGGCAGGGCCACAAACGAGAACUGCCAUUUCACACCGAUUUCACACCGAUUUCACACCCAUUUCACACCCAUUUCCCCGGGGUUGCCGCUCCGCUGCUGCCCCGCGGCUCCGCGCAAAUUGCGCGCCCGCUCCGCGCCUCCUCUGCCUGCGGUCGGUCCCGCAUUCGCUCGGCCGGCUCCGUAGGUGGCCGUGUAUAUUUUUGUUGAAGUAGUGUUUAUGUUAAUGAAAAAGUCUGAGAUUACAAACAGACCACUGAACGCCCGGGAUGUUGCUGCCGGAUUGGUCUACGUUGUGUAUUUUAAACCUAAUCAGGAGCAAAUAUGAUUUCCCCCCCCCCCCCUCCCGUGUAUGUGUGUGUGUGCAUUAUUUUUAGCAGAAAGACGUACGGGAUGUUUGGGGAGCCCCGUGCCACCCCUGUCCCUUUACCCAGUGAUUUCGGAGCUAUGUUUUUCCCUGCGUGGCUGGGGAGGGAGUGGGGAUGCAGGGAGAGGUGUCAGAGCAGUUAUCCGAGAAUUACCCCCAGAACAACGAAAACGAUCCCAUUGCUCCUGGAAAGGGAAAGGAAGGGCUCAGCUCACCCCCCCUGAGCUCCCUCCGACCCCAUAGAGGGGUUUCCAUGCGCCGGUGGCAAACGGGUGCGCGUCCCUAAAGCCUCGCCUAAGGGAUGGGGUAUCCUUUCCUUUGGGUAUUUUCUUUGCCGGGAAUUGCUGGGCACAACCUGAAAUUUGAAUCAAAAACCCCUUCCAAUUCGGCAGUGAAAAAUGCCAUUUACAAUUUGCCACAUGAAAAAAAAAAUAGAUAAAUAGGCAGAUAUACUGAUAGAUUUCAGCCCUUGUAAAUGCCAAGUGUGCAGCAAUCAGUUCAUCCAUUGCUUAAAAGUGGAGGUCCGGAGAGCUUUUGGGUUUUUCUUUCAGGAGGGAGCUGUGAUUUUCUUUGAUUUCAGAGCCUUUUGGGGUCCCUUUGAUUCCGGUUUCCUUAACAAAAAAAAUCACUUCUGGAACCCCCUCAGCUGUUCCUAUCUCCCCUUCCGUUGCUGUGCUGGUGAAGGUUCAAAGAAAAUAACCCGAUUUUUGCAGACGUUCCUCUGCUGAUCGAUCACUCCCAGCACAGAGGGAUGCAUUUGGGGUCCCGGCAAAAGGAUUUCUCCCCCUUGACAGCUUUGCAAGCAACAGUGAGGAGGCUUUGGCAUAGCCUUCCUUCCCAAUAUUUGCCUUUUGUGGGCAAAAGCUGUCGGUGGAGCAGAGCUCUCCGGCACGGCCAGCCGGAGGAUUUGUGCACUCCGAUGUUUUACUACUGUUAUGAUUCCUCAUUGACUGAAAGUACAAAGAAAAUCGCCGUGUAAACAAGUCGCCGUCUGAAGGGGAUGUGGGCGAAAUUCGGGGCAAGCAGAACCUCAGCAGGGAUUUAAGGGAAGAAGGGAAACAAGGGGAAAACACAACAAUCCUGUGCAAGGUUUUCUCUAUGCAAUGGCAGUAUCACUUCGGAGCUGUGCAGGGUUUUUUUUCCCCAUGUUUCAUGGGGCAGAGGAGAGACCUAAAGUGUUUUUUUCUCCCUGAGAAUAUCUGGAUGGCAUCGAUCUGUCUCCCAACAGAAAGAAGUAGGUUCCAGCAUGAGGCUUAGGGGGUUUCUUCAUUCUCCCACCUGGAACUAGCGGUUUUUUUUCCAUGAAACUGUAUUUUUUUGCAUUCUUUCUUUUGAGGGGGUCAAUCCCCCCCCUUUUCUUUUAACCUAGCAACAUUAAGCAACGCUGCAGAGGGAUUGUCAACACUACAGCAUUUGGCUUUGGGGAUAACACCACUGCUGCCGGAGCCAGGUUUCUGGCCAGCAGCUCCAAGGACUGUCACAGCCAUGUUGUGCGUUUGGGAACGUCAUGCAAUGGGGCUUUAACUGUGAAUGGAGGACAUCCUGGCCCCACUAUGGGUGGGAUAAGAACAACUCUCACCUCAAGGGUGAGUGUUUGGAAGUGGAGGGGGGCAGUGAUGGGGGCAGGCUUCCCUGAGAAGCAAAUCAGCACACGUGCACCCAAAAUUUCCCAAACCACAACCUUAUGGAGGCUCUUUUGGCUGUAGGGUGCACUGAUGACAGAGCCAGCUCCCACCAUCUGUGGAUUUCCUCAUCCUGGCAGCUCAGUGGGGAGCAGCAGGUCCUAGCUAAAUGCCUUGUGGUCCAGAUGCCAUGGACCAUCCCCCCUGGAUUCAAUAAGAGCAGUGCCCCUACAACACCAUGGUGAGCAGUUGCAUGGAGGUUUGAGCCAUCCCAGGGUGGAGAUCACCUUCUCCAUCCCCACAUUUGCCAUAAGCCCAAACCCAGCCCCAUCACAUGCAAUGAUAAAAAGGGAACUGGCAGCACAAAACUCGUUGUGAUUUCCAGGCUGAUGUCUGCACAACCCUACUGGCUUCUCCGAAAGAACCAAGAGACACAAACCUGUUCUGUCCUAAGGUUUCCCAUUAAGCUAAUUACUGCUAAUUGUACCACUUGGCUAUCUCACCAACCGCACCCUGAGCAGGGCUGAUAGGGUAUCAGUGAGAUAAGAAGCACUCGAAUAGCACAGGUAACAGAACUUUGGGAGGGGUUAUCACCCCUACCACCCUCCUUUGGGGGACACUGAGGUCAUAAGGAUGUGUGCAGGGGCUGGCACACAACUAUAAGCCUUUCAGGAAAUGCUACCGAGGGGUUUUGGUGACUGUUCUCUGCAAGUUGCAGAGAAGCAAGCUGGCAUUCAUUUCAUAGUAAUUCCUUUAAAUUCACUUAGCAUGCGGAUUAUUUGUAUGAGCUAUUUUUGUUGCUGUUAACACAACACUGUGGAAAUGGAGGUUUCAUUAUUUCUCCAUUUUUUCCCCCCUCCCACAGAGAAAUAAAUGCUGUUCUUUUAACAAAUGCUGUAUUUCUCACUUCAUUUCUGAUUUCUCCCCAUCUCUGCUGGCCUACCUGAAGCAAUUCAGCUCCCACACUGGCACUAGGUAGGGAUUACUAUCACCUGCUUACUAAAGAAGAGACUUGGACAAGGUGUUCUUAUUUGAAAACAUUUUUGGUACAUGACUUGCAAUAAGAUACUUGGAAUUUUCACACUCAGAGAUAUAUUUUGUUAGGUGUAUAGUCUCCCCAGCACAUGCAGCUUCUGGCUGUGAGUGUAUAAAAGCACAUCACAUCUGGCAGGUAAAACACACUGGCCACAUCAACACCUACAUGUUGUCUUGCACUCAUAUGUUUCAGAGCUUGCUGAUGCAACUACUGCACCUCAUAGAGGCAGGUGUGCUACACAGCGUGGCUGAACUGGGCAACUCAUGGCUGAGUCCCCUCACCCGAGGCUUGGGAUGUUGUUCAUGUCCAUUGCUCCAUGUAUAAGAGCAACACUGGAAGUCUGGAAAGCCAGUUAGGCAGACAGACAGACAGGACAUUUUCUUCUGUAAGGUACCCUGAUCAUCUGCUCUUCCUUUCAGAGCCUGGUCUGCAUUCACAUUGGUUUAAGUUACCCGAGUUUCUCAUUGUCCUACAGUGAAGCUCAUAACAAAGCCUGUGGCCAGCUCUUUCUUCGAUAAUUCCUUUCCCCCAUUUGUUUAUCUCAAGUAGUGAGCUUUGUUCCAGGCCCAAAACCAAAAGCCUUUCUACCCUGUUCUCUCCUUGACUUGUUGCAGAUGUAACGAAAUAAAUCUUUAGCAAGAACAAACCUUCACUUCCUCUCUCAGUCACAAACCCCAGGAAAGAAAAAUAAAUCACAACGUGAGCUCACCCGCUCUCGGAGGAUACCACGUUACUCCUGAAGGCCACCACUCAAACUGGAGGUGUCCGUCCCUCAGAGAGAUCAACGAAUGCAGCAAAUUAAUGAGCAGCAUCAGCCCAAGCUUUGACAUGAAACCAGCCCUGAAAACAAAGCCAUGUGCAGUGCCAUGAGCCAGGCAAUCCUAAUUCUCCAUGUCACCUUCCCAUUCCGUGGCCUGUUGGUGGGACAAAGAGUUGGUACCCAUGAAAUCACCAUUUUAAGUGUGGCCAAAGUCAAGAGCGGAUAAAAGCCUGCCACGAUCAGUCUGAAUCACGGUUGAUGUGAUGGCCAGCAAUGGUCAGGAGUGGGACUGUGCUGCUGGUGUGCUCCCAGCAUUCAUCCCUUGGGCACUGAGGGCCAAUGAGUAUCUCUGGUUCAUCCCAAAACUCUGCCCCUCGUCUCCCCUAAUCCACCUAAUGCCUUUUCAACUGGAACCGGAAAAAGCAGCAGCAGGGUGUGUUUGUUUUUCUCAAUUGGCCGUGGCAAAGAGGUAGAAAUACACCUCCAAAUAGCAUUUCCUCCUCUCCUGAGAGAAGUCUCCGUAUGAGAGCUGUGUUGCUCAGGAAGCCUCAAACCAUCUCUGAAUGUGACCAAAUUAUAACAGCUGUGUCUCCGGUUGACACAGGUCUAAGAUAAAGACGGAUUGACUUUAAGCUGGGAGUACAAAACUGCACAGAAGCAGCGAUGUGGAUUUACACCAGAUCGCUUUUAUUCCUUCAAGGAUACUCAGGGGGAGAUGAACCAUAAGAUACCCACAAAUCGUGCUGAAGUCAGAAGACAUUUGGCCCAGACACUUCAGGGGGCUGAAAUGAGACUUUCCUCCUCCUUCUUCUUCUUUUUUUAAACAAGAGAUCUUUGCAGUUUUGAAACAAUCCGUACAGUUAGCAUUGAAGAAAGUGUAAUUAGACACUUGGAGGACUGGAAGAAAUUAACUCCAACCACAGGCUGUCACUCAGACCAUUAUUUAAUUAUUCUCCCCAAAUGCGCAAAGCACUUAGUUUUAGAAUAACAGGAAAGAAGUCUAACUCCUCACCAACAGCUCAGUCUCUGGAUGGGGACACAUGCACAUAAAGCCAAUGGGCUCCCAAGCCAUAGGAUGGGGACAGGAACAAGCGCCUUGGGCACAACUUUGGGCUCUGAAGGAUGUGAUUGAUGCCUGAAUGGCUGGAACCCAGUCAACGGGAGUGCCCAGCCCAAGGUGCAACAGGCUGCGGGAGAGAAGAUCGCCUUCAGUUUCCAACAUGCCAAGGAAACCACUGAGAAAUUGCUGUUUUCCUUCUUCUGCAGCACCGGGCAGAGCCGUUGACUCACCCCUUGCUACAGAAGCCUGGCUAGAAAGAGAUUAUUGUGAUUUCUGACUGUUUCUUUCCUAACUACAAAAGGCCCCAUUCAUCUGGGCUAAUUUUGACGGGAGAGCAAGGGGUAUCAGUAGCAUGAACUGUAUCUGAGCGUCUCGACCGCAUUUCAGCAAGCCAUGCUUGUUGGCCAGUUCCAGCCAGUGAAAUGGAUAUCCUCCAUUUCAAGCUUUUUAGUGGAUCGUUUCUCUGGUUCUAAACAGAGGUAUCUUUUCUGGCCGUGGCAAGUUUGAGAAGUACUGACGAAGCAGAGACGGCCAUUUUCAUGGCAGGAACAAGAGGCCAUUUAAAAAGGGGGAAAGGGCUGUUCUGCUCGAUCAGUGCACCAGCAUUUGUCUACCUACAUGCACCAUGCAUGUGCACCGAGGCUGGGCCCAGAACAGUGAAUCUCUGCCUUAUUUCCAAGGUCUGAACAAAACAUACUUUUAUUUUUAUUUUUUGAAAAUGCUAAAUUUGCUUAAUUGCGAGCCUUUGUGGAGCUCAGCUGGGACUGCCUGCGUGUGUGGGAAGGGCUGGAACGUAAUUGCUUUCAGCAGAUAUCACUGUAGUCUGUAAUUAAAACAUAUGAGGCUGCCAGCUUCAGAUUUUCUAAGUGAUUUCAUCUGUAUUUGGGUGAUCACCUCUCUCUGAGAGGCUCAUAUUAAAUGAUAUUUCAAGUUCCAGUGCACCAAAUGGGUGAAAAACAAUUUUGUCCUCUCCUUCUUGUAGUCUCCAAGCAAGUCACCUAGGCAGCUUGGAGAGGCAGAGCUCAGACCUCAUACGCACAUCCCUUCACCAGGGAAAUGCUUGGUGAAAGCUGCUCAAGAAGUGCUGCUCCAGAGACAGAGCGGAAGGUGUUGAUAAAGCUUGUUAAAGAAAAAGGAAGGGGGGAAAAAAGGCUAACAAAAAAAAUCUGGCACCUCCUAAAUCAGAGUGACAAUUUCAGUGCAGUGUUUACAUGAGGUAGUAAAAAUAAAUUGCCUGAGACUGAUUAUACCCACAUGGCACUCUAAAGGCAACAGGGAUGUCCCCCAGUAUCAGAAACCCAACACGGGGGAAAUACGUGAUGAUGGCAACCCUCAGCCCAUUGGGGCCAGCACUGCUUUGUUACUUGCCUCAAUAGGUGGAAGCAGCAGUGAGAAGAGGGAUCUGCAACUCCCCACAGAUAGACAUGAUCGCCCCAGGAGCCAUGGUUGGCUUACAAGGCCACUGCUGUUGAGUCCUACAAGGGCUGUAGACAAAGGAGCGUGUGGGUUUGGGGCAUCCUCAAGCUUGGACAACAUACGCCUGCUGGAUCAAAAUGGGUAAUGGAAGAAGGCAAAGAUGAUAGCAUCACUGUUAGAAUUGUAAUGAGUCACAAAUGCUAUUUUGAUGGUUUUCUUUGAAAGACAUGCACAAGAGCCAACCGAUGUAAUUGAAGAUCUCCAAGGCUUUGUAAUCAGCACGGCCACAAACGAAGGCAAACCUACUUUCAUGUGGUAGAAUACAAGAGGAGGUUCCCCAUGAAAAUUAAAAAAAAAGGGGGGGGGGGGGUGGGGAAAGAAAGAGAAAAAAGAAAUUUUGAAGGGUUUUGUUUGUAGUGAUACCAGGACAUGAAGGACAUGCAGCCCCCAGAAUGACUGCAACAGCCUUCACGGCUGAGAUGUUUAAACCUAAGGAAUAGGAUGGGUCACUCAGCAGACAGUUUUUAUUCUUGGCAAGUAAGCUCUGAGCAUGGGGAAAGUGAGCAUUUUUGGCCUAAGUGUGACCACCUGGGACUGAUUUGCUCAGAGGAGCAGGAAACACCAUGCAGUUGACCUGAUAGAAAUAGCUGCUAUUUCCUUUGCAUCCCAUCACCACGGGGCUGUGAGGUGCACCGUACCCCUGUGUGCAUCCAGUGUUUGCUGAAAAACAUCAGGGAAAUGGUGAGAGGGUGGAUUAAUCUGCCUGAAGAAGUUUGUGAUUAAUGCAACUUGGAUGGUGCUGUGGGAAGGCGGAUGGCUUGAAAAGAUGGAAGGAAGUCUGAGGCUGUCCUGGCUUGAUACUAUAUAUGGUCUUUGGUCAGUUCUGCUUCAGAGGCUGCAGCCAGAAUCAGAUUUUUACUGUAUUUCUUUUGAAAGCGGAAAAAUGCUUGAAUAAUUUCACCCAGCUCAAAGAGCUGAGACAGAUAGGUCCAACAGUAAUCCAAGUGGUGAUGGAUGGGUCCACCAGCGAUCCCCGCUAUGAACUGGCUGCACCAGCAGGAUGAUUUCUCAGAGCACGAGCUGUGAGUUUGACCAAGUCCCUUCCAGCAGCCCUACUUAGGCUGCAAAGCCCCAGAGAUUUGUGCUUUCAUGCAGAUCCAACCUGCACUGAUAACCAGCACUGCUGAACGCGCUGGAACAUCCCCCCUCCCCACCCCUUUUUACAUCUGCUCUACAUUUGCAUCUCAGAAAUUAGAGAACUGAGCUAUGCAGAAUUACAGAGCACAGGCUGGAGUAUGGAACUGAUUGGGUAUUCAGGCUAAAUAAGACGAGUUUAAAGAUCUUUCCAGGAAAUUGAGUGGAACACCCAAACUGACAUUCAGUAUUAAAUAUUAUAUUUGUGCAGUUGCUCUCCAUAGCCCGUUGGCACUGAACAUCUGGGAGCACGAUUUAUAACAUACAGAAACUGAAUACCUGCUCAAAAUUAUGCUCAUCAGAGCUCAGAAAUUAAAAUAUUACCCUGUACACUCCGAGCCACUCCAUUCCUAAAAGGUAAGGCUAUUAAAAUAUGAUUAGCUGAGCCAUAUCUGGUCUCAGAAAUGUCAUACACCAUUACAACUGAAAAGACUUUGAUGCAAUGCUGUUGGCAAAGCCCCCUGCUUGAUCAGCAGCAAGAUGCCUAAGAAUGAACCUUGCAAAUACUUGCCCCAGCAUCAGGAGGGAAAUGCAGAAGAGAAGGGGAGCUGCUGGUUGGAGAUGCUGGAGUGGUUUGGGUCUUCUAUUUCGGGUAGGCAAGAGCUGAAAGCUUGAAUGCUAUUAUUAUUAUUAAUAUGGAAAGAGUCCCGCUGCCCUUUGCUGUCCAUUGCAUUGGGCUUCUUAUCCUUGCCCAGUACAGAGGUAGCCCCAUUGCUGUCUCCAGCCAUCGCUGCUCCCGGCCCUGUGCUGCCACAUUUCCAAGAGCACUCCAUGGGUGGUCGGGGUCACAUUUCCCCUUUUGUUGGAGAAUAAAAUCCAAACAACAGCCACAGAAAACCUGUAGGCACUGGGCUCAGGUUGGGGUGAUUACAAUCCUCUGCUUCUUGCAAUGCAAGAAAUUAUAUAUGCAUAUAUAGAAACGCAUGCAUAUGCCUUGUAGAAUACCAGUUAGAAUGAUAGAAUUAUAUAGGGAUAUAAUGACAUAUUAUCUAAUCUAUACAUUAAAAUGAUGUUAUAUUUAUGUAAAAUCUUUCGCAAUACAUGAUUGUCUCUCCCGGUGAGGCAUUGAACAGCAUUCACCAUUAAACAUUUCUAUGCUGGUAUCUCUGUAAGGGCUCAGCUGGGGAUGGUCCCCCCAGGUCUGGGGCACUCAGCUCUGGCCAAAGCCUUCCCUAGGGCUGGCCAUGUAAUCCCAGCCAUGAUGCCUCAGCCCUAUUACCCUUUGCCCACCCCACAGCCAGCAGAAUUCCCUUAUAUUGAAGCCUGCAUGCCCCGGCCCUGCGGGAGCUGCCUCUCCCCGCCUUUGUCAGGGCUUAUUACUCCAUGUUUUCACACUUAUCCCCAAGGUGUUGAACUCACCCUGAAGGUUAAUUAGUAAUUUAUUGCGCUGUCAUCAGUUGGAGGCUACUAAUGGCUUCAAUUUAGCCCUAGGGCUCUUUUUUUUUUUUUUUUUUUUUCUUUCUUCCUCCCUUCCUUUCCUCCUGCCUGCUCUGGAGAAGCUGGAAGCUGCAGUGCAUGGGAAAGCAGCAGAACUACCAGCUGGAAAUAUGGUCUCAAGGGGCUGAAGGUGGCUCUGGGUGCUGUCCUGUAUCCCUGGCCCGGUCAGCAAGAAAGCAAUUUAAAUCAAUUCACCAGAACGGCAAAGCUGAGAGCACGUGCCUGUGCCUGUGCUUAGCAACAUCACCAGCUGCUAUAGCAGGACAGCCUGCAUAGCAUAGAGGAUGGCACACCGACCCCACCACCUGACCUCUGGGCAUCUGCUUUUUGCACUGCACACCUGCAAGGCUCAUUGCUGAGCAAUGGGAGCCUCUGUGGUUGGAGCUGAUGAGGGAUGGGUGGCAAUAAGGAGCUGUUCUGCCCAUCCCAUAAUGCCCCUCCAGCAUGCCUCAAUUUCUCUCCCACCCCAUCAUAGUGAUACCAAACAGAGCCCCCAGGAUGGCACACUGUGCCCCCCUGCUGUGUGUCACCCCAUGUCCCCACCAGCCCUGUCCCGAUGAAGUACCUCUUACAAAACAGCCAUGCACUGAUUUCUUUUCUUAAUUAUUUUUUGGAAAAUAACUGAAUAACCCCAUUUCCUGUGUUUAUACAGACCAUUAGGUAAACCAGCCACGGGAAGGGGGAAGAGAAGGGAUGCAGGAUGGAAGCGAGCUCUGCAGCCAGGUCAGGGAGGGUGGGGGGGGGGGUGGGUUAGCUGCAGGGGAGGUGACACAUGAGUGUGUUCCACUGGGGACAGCUGGCAUGUGAGGCCUCACCUGGGUGACAACAGCAGAAUGGUGCCUGGCAACCCACUGGGCUCAGUGCAUCCUCCUUGCUGGACUGGGAUUCAAAGGGGAGAAGGCUUGGGAGAAGGGAAAUUGAGUGAUAUUAGGGGAAAGGGGACAAAUUAGACCUCAUCAAGCAUGCAGCUUCUACAAAAAGGGCUGUGAUGUGGCUCUUGCAACGUGCACAAGCCAAUGGCAGAGCAAGGCAGCAGGAUGCUCACGUCAGGUAAGAGUGAAAGGGAAAGGUGCAUUUCUCAGAAGAAUGAGACCCAAUUGCCCACCAGAAAGGAAGGAGGUAUGGACAUCACUUUGGAUUUUGAUGAAAAAAAAAAAUAUUAAGAAAUAAAAGAAAACCUAUAUUUAGCUUCCGACUUCAGACACAGCGUGAGGAUUCCUAUAGUAACAUCUGCUAUUCCCCUCCCCUGUUUAAUUUAUGGCCGUUAACUUUAGGGCUAAGGACAGUUUAUGGAAAAAAACACCUGCUUUCUCCUACUCCCAGGGCAAGGGUGGAAUUUUCUCUGACUCUGCAUCCUAAAUAAAGCUCCGUUCCAGGCCCCGAUGAUUCAUAGCACGGCUCAUGCACACAUGCCUUAUGUUAGGAGGCCCUGUCAGAUGCUCAUGCCCCUUUCUCCAGGACUCAAGCACAGAGUUCAUUUAUACACAUCACUGGGGCCAUUCUGGGGGAAACCUGAGCCCAGAGGUCCCACCGUGCCCACCUCCUGCAGAAAAGCUCUGUCCACG